rnacentral:rRNA from 1 species
GUGGGGAAUAUUGGACAAUGGGCGAAAGCCUGAUCCAGCCAUGCCGCGUGUGUGAAGAAGGUCUUCGGAUUGUAAAGCACUUUAAGUUGGGAGGAAGGGCAGUAAGUUAAUACCUUGCUGUUUUGACGUUACCGACAGAAUAAGCACCGGCUAACUUCGUGCCAGCAGCCGCGGUAAUACGAAGGGUGCAAGCGUUAAUCGGAAUCAUUGGGCGUAAAGCGCACGCAGGCGGUUAUAUAAGACAGAUGUGAAAUCCCCGGGCUCAACCUGGGAACUGCCUCCAAAACUGCAUGACUAGAGUACGGUAGAGGGUAGUGGAAUUUCCUGUGUAGCGGUGAAAUGCGUAGAUAUAGGAAGGAACACCAGUGGCGAAGGCGACUACCUGGACUGAUACUGACACUGAGGUGCGAAAGCGUGGGGAGCAAACAGGAUUAGAUACCCGAGUAGUCC